ACGUCACCGUUUUUAGAUAAAAGCGUCGUAAACAUCCGGCACUUCACGGGUUGUUCCAAGUCUUGGUUUGGUUCGUGCGUCGUCAGAGUUGCAGAGUUUGUAGCAGGUGUUGGAGGAAUGAGCUGCUGCUGAUGCAGGUGAAUGCUCCACUUUGCAGAGAAAUGAUGGAGAAGUGUUUGUUGCUGUUGCUGUGGCUGCUGGCUGGAGAAACCCUGCAGAGCUGCCAGGACAAGAGGAGCUGCCAGCCGCCGUCUGUCUCAGCCAGAGAGGCUUCGGCCUGAGAGGCUUCUAACAUUCUGUCAGUGUGUGGUGGCGUUUGGUGCCGUUAUCAGAGGAACCCUCGGUCCGGCGGGAAGAGGCUGAGGUGGAGGAGGGAGGUUUGGGUUGCUGGGGCGGCAGCGGUGGUGGUGGUGGUGGUGGAGGGGGUUGUCGGUGUGUGGGAGGAUCCUGGCUGUCACAGGACAUGAGGAUGACAGGCUUGGCUGCCACUCACCGCCGCUCUUCCUGAUCGGCUGUGAUGUGCCAAGAUGGACAUCAGCACAGCCGGGGCGUCUCUGGCUACCAGCCCCGCCUGUCCGCUCACAUGCCAACACAAACUGCACAAUAUCUUGUUUUAGGGGAAGAGCCGCGGCACUUUUGGCAUCAGACGCCUGCCUCGGCGUCAUUUGGCUGCCGCUCUGGUGUCUUCAGGGCCUGUUUGGAGGGAGCUGCACCGCCUCUCUGUGUGUUUUUUUUAUCAGGAAAACCGCCGAACAAAUCACUCCAAAACUUUAAUGUUCGGUGCCAACGUGACCGUCAGCCCUCACCCAGCAGAAUUGAUGAGUGCCUUCUGAUAAUCCAUUAAGACACGGCUAAAGGUCGCGGGGUAUAAAUAGCCUUCAAGGACGCGGCGUGGAGUCAUCUGAGGGAAAUCAGACUGAAGAGGACACACAUGAAACUCCUCAUUAAUCUGGACACAAAGGUGUUUGUCUGUUAUUAAACAUCUCUGUCAGGUGACCUGUCACAUUCCUUCCUCCGUCAGGGGAUAAACAGGGGUGGACAAAAUAACAGCAACACCUGAGAACAGGACUUCUUGACCUUUUCUUACCCACGACCUCGUUUAUAGCUCCGAAUAUUUUACAGAACAAAUCCAGUGAUGAGAGUUUCAGGUUCUUCGUGGAGCUGGAGGUGAAAAGCUUCUGUUACAGAUGGAUUAUAAUGAAACAAUGAGAAGAGAGCGUUUUGUAUUUUGUUUAUUCCCAUCAUCACUGAAACCUCAGUUACUCAUUUUGUAACAGGAGUGAAUAGGAAACAGAUCGGUAACAUGAAGACAGAAAGAAAAGUCCAUAAAACUGAGAAACUAAAUCCAAAGUUUCCUUUUAGAGAGACUUCCACGAUCAGAACAGAUUUUUAUUUUCAGGCUUGUUCAGAGGUUUUAAUUUAAGAAUAUGAUAAAUAAAUG